rnacentral:rRNA from 1 species
UACGGAGGAUGCAAGCGUUAUCCGGAUUCAUUGGGUUUAAAGGGUGCGUAGGCGGGCUAUUAAGUCAGUGGUGAAAUCCUGCAGCUUAACUGUAGAAUAUCCGUUGAAACUGUGUUUCUUGAGUACAUUUGAGGUAGGCGGAAUGUGGUGUGUAGCGGUGAAAUGCAUAGAUAUACCACAGAACGCCGAUUGCGAAGGCAGCUUACUAAACUGUCACUGAUGCUGAUGCACGAAAGCGUGGGUAUCAAACAGGA